AUUGCCCUUAGAGGCAUUCAUUGUAGAUAAGGCUGCUGUGUCGUAUGUACAUCAGUAGGUGGCAGAGAUGAGAGAGGUUAUGUUUAUGGUAAUUGAACAUCUGGAUGAUUCAUAGCUUAAUACU
ensembl:snoRNA Gm26406 predicted gene, 26406